UUGGAGGGCAAGUCUGGUGCCAGCAGCCGCGGUAAUUCCAGCUCCAAUAGCGUAUAUUAAAGUUGUUGCAGUUAAAAAGCUCGUAGUUGAAUUUCGGGAUUGACGUAAUGGUCGUGCCUUAAGGGGUAUGAACUGUUACUGUUGAUUUCUCACCUUCUGGAGAAGCUUGAUGUCAUUAAUUGGGUGUCUUGCGGAUCCAGGACCUUUACCUUGAAAAAAUUAGAGUGUUUAAAGCAGGCAUUUUUGCUCGAAUACAUUAGCAUGGAAUAAUAGAAUAGGACGGCAUGGCUCCAUUUUGUUGGUUUCUAGGAUCACCGUAAUGAUUAAUAGGGAUAGUUGGGGGCAUUAGUAUUCAAUUGUCAGAGGUGAAAUUCUUGGAUUUAUUGAAGACUAACUACUGCGAAAGCAUCUGCUAAGGAUGUUUUCAUUAAUCAAGAACGAAAGUUAGGGGAUCGAAGACGAUCAGAUACCGUCGUAGUCUUAACCAUAAACUAUGCCGACUAGGAAUCAGGCGAUGUUAAUUUUUUAAUGACUCGUUUGGCACCUUACGGGAAACCAAAGUGUUUGGGUUC
rnacentral:rRNA from 1 species